AUUGAACGCUGGCGGCAGGCCUAACACAUGCAAGUCGAACGAGUGGCGGACGGGUGAGUAAUGUCUGGGAAACUGCCUGAUGGAGGGGGAUCACUACUGGAAACGGUAGCUACUACCGCAUACCCUCGGCUUUGCCCAGCUGGGAUUAGCUAGUAGGUGGGGUAAAGGCUGCACUAGGAGACGAUCCCUAGCUGGGCUGAGAGGAUGACCAGCCACACUGGAACUGGGAAACGGGCCAGACACCUAAGGGAGGCAGGAGGGGGGAAUAUUGCACAAUGGGGGCAAGCCUGAUGCAGCCAUGCCGGGUGUAUGAAGAAGGCCUUCGGGUUUUAAAGUACUUUCAGCGGGGAGGCGUUACCCGCAGAAGAAGCACCGGCUAACUCCGUGCCAGCAGCCGCGGUAAUUC
rnacentral:rRNA from 1 species